rnacentral:rRNA from 1 species
GUCGACGGUCAUACCACCCUGAACAUGCCCAAUCUCGUCUGAUCUCAGCAGCUAAGCAGGGUGGGGCCUAGUUAGUACUUGGAUGGGAGACAUAUAGAAUGUUUAGGUAAUUUGCCC